GGAAAAUGCAAUGAAACUUUAUAGGUCUGCGAGAUGAUUGCUUAUGAGUGACCAAUCACUUAACAAGAUGUGGUUCCAAAUGUAGCAAAUAACACCAGAACUGGCUAAAACAUUGGUACUUGUGGAUUUUGCUUUUCAAGGCAGAUUAUCAAGGGGAAUGUUAUAAUAGUUGAGAGAGGCCAACUAUUGUCAAAAUGUCAGGCUUACCCAACUUCCAAAAAACCAGUAGUUAUGUAAGCUAUUUUUGUCAAGCUAUUAAGAACAUUAGCCCUUGCUAGCAGGAAGCAUGCUAACAUCUUAUUUGGCUAACUGCUCAAAACUUGUCACAAAAAUCUAGCUUUGCCUCUUUGUCCAAAUAUAUCAGGGCAUUGACCACAUAGGAGGAAUAUGAAGUACAUUCCUGUACCGUUAAUAUUUUGUGAUUUCUGCCUUAGAGGGACUUUCUGUGAUGUCUAACAAGGUUGGAAACUCUUGUAGAGUGAUCUUGGUCCACUCCUCCAUGUAAAACAUUCUGACCCAUGGUCCACUAACAGACGAAAGCCAGGAGGGCAGGACCGGUCCACACAGAGAGUGUGCACUACUGCUGAGCAUGGACUUCCUGCCUUCUCUGGAAAAAAUGGAAAAUGUGUGUGCUUGUGCAUGUGUGUGGUAUUAUCAUGGACAUGGUUAUGUGUCCCAGUGUAAGACAGGCUAAAAUAGUUAAUGUGUGUGUAUGUGAGACAGUGCGUGGGGGCCACAGCUGUGGCCAUUUCUCUGGUGACCCUAUAGCCCUCUGUCCCCUAAGCUGGCUUUCGCCUUACAGCUGCUGCUCUGCACCUGAAGGAACAUGCACACACACACACAUGCUUAGGAUUCAUGAAUGCAUGUGUGUAUGUGUGUGUGUGUGUACACCAUUCCCAUGAUAACAUUCCUUAGCCUCCUUUAUUGAAUCAGAACUUCCACUGUCCAGAGACAAAAGCAAAUGUUGCAACAGUUUGUACCAAUUCAGCAAAUUGUGUCAAGAUGAGAAUUCUUAGUUCCC
ensembl:lncRNA